UACGGCCAUAUAGCGUUGAAACACCGGUUCUCAUACCAUCACUGAAGUUAAGUAACGUCGAGCCUGGUCAGUUCUUAGAUGGGGUGUGGCUUGGAAAUACCAGGUGCUGUAA